rnacentral:rRNA from 1 species
UACGUAGGGUGCGAGCGUUAAUCGGAAUUACUGGGCGUAAAGCGUGCGCAGGCGGUCUGUUAAGACCGAUGUGAAGUCCCCGGGCUUAACCUGGGAACUGCAUUGGUGACUGGCAGGCUUUGAGUGUGGCAGAGGGAGGUAGAAUUCCACGUGUAGCAGUGAAAUGCGUAGAGAUGUGGAGGAAUACCGAUGGCGAAGGCAGCCUCCUGGGCCAACACUGACGCUCAUGCACGAAAGCGUGGGGAGCAAACAGG